GUGGCAGGGGCGGCGGUAAUACGGAGGGUGCAAGCGUUAUCCGGAUUUAUUGGGUUUAAAGGGUGCGCAGGCGGAAAAAUAAGUCAGUGGUGAAAUGCUGCCGCUCAACGGUAGGGCUGCCAUUGAUACUGUUCUUCUUGAGUAUGGUUGAGGUAAGCGGAAUGUGCGGUGUAGCGGUGAAAUGCAUAGAUAUCGCACAGAACGCCGAUUGCGAAGGCAGCUUACUAAACCAUUACUGACGCUGAGGCACGAAAGCGUGGGUAGCGAACAGGAUUAGAUACCCUGGUAGUCCACGCCGUAAACGAUGUUCACUCGCUGUUUGCGAUACACAGCAAGCGGCUGAGCGAAAGCAUUAAGUGAACCACCUGGGGAGUACGACCGCAAGGUUGAAACUCAAAGGAAUUGACGGGGGCCCGCACAAGCGGUGGAACAUGUGGUUUAAUUCGAUGAUACGCGAGGAACCUUACCUGGGCUUAAAUGUAGGCUGCAUUUGCGCGAAAGCGUGAUUCCCUUCGGGGCUGCUUACAAGGUGCUGCAUGGUUGUCGUCAGCUCGUGCCGUGAGGUGUCGGGUUAAGUCCCAUAACGAGCGCAACCCUUACCGUUAGUUGCCAUCGGGUCAAGCCGGGGACUCUAGCGGGACUGCCACCGUAAGGUGAGAGGAAGGUGGGGAUGACGUCAAAUCAGCACGGCCCUUAUGCCCAGGGCUACACACGUGUUACAAUGGCCGGUACAAAGGGCAGCUACUGCGCAAGCAGGUGCGAAUCCUUAAAGCCGGUCCCAGUUCGGAUCGGAGUCUGCAACCCGACUCCGUGAAGUUGGAAUCGCUAGUAAUCGGAUAUCAGCAACGAUCCGGUGAAUACGUUCCCGGGCCUUGUACACACCGCCCGUCAAACCAUGGAAGCUGGGGGUACCUGAAGUCUGUAACCGCAAGGAGCGGCCUAGGGUAAAUCUGGUGACUAGGGUUAAGUCGUAACAAGGUAACC
rnacentral:rRNA from 1 species